UUGAACGCUGGCGGCAGGCUUAACACAUGCAAGUCGAGCGGAGAGAGGUAGCUUGCUACUGAUCUUAGCGGCGGACGGGUGAGUAAUACUUAGGAAUCUGGCUAUUAGUGGGGGACAACAUUUCGAAAGGGAUGCUAAUACCGCAUACGUCCUACGGGAGAAAGCAGGGGAUCUUCGGACCUUGCGCUAAUAGAUGAGCCUAAGUCGGAUUAGCUAGUUGGUGGGGUAAAGGCCUACCAAGGCGACGAUCUGUAGCGGGUCUGAGAGGAUGAUCCGCCACACUGGGACUGAGACACGGCCCAGACUCCUGCGGGAGGCAGCAGUGGGGAAUAUUGGACAAUGGGGGGAACCCUGAUCCAGCCAUGCCGCGUGUGUGAAGAAGGCCUUAUGGUUGUAAAACUCUGUCUUCAGGGAAGAAAAAAAUGACGGUACCUGAGGAGGAAGCCACGGCUAACUACGU
rnacentral:rRNA from 1 species